ACCUUCUCAUUCCUCUUUAUUGCUUGCUUUUCAUCUACUUCUCUUCUAUAUAAUUCUCUGAACUUUAUUUUUUUCCGGCUUGUGGACCUGUGGACCUGUGGUGGUGAUUCACUCUCAUUUUGGAGAGUAAUAAAGGCCAGCAUUUUUUCUCAAUCUUAUCAGCGUGAAGAAGAAGAAGAAGAAGAAGAAGAAGAAGAAGAAGGGCUCCUAUCUUUCUCCCUGCUUCAGAUUCAAAGCUGAAUAAUUCUUCUCCAUGACUCGAUCUAAUUUUCUUGUGUUUUUUCUUCUUGCUAUCCUUCUUUCCUUCUCCUAUAAGGGGUAUGGAAGAAGGGUGAAGAUUUUGAGGCAUCCUCAAGAAAAGUCACUCCUCGAGUCAAUCAAAGUUGGACAAACAAGCCACAGCAUCUUUGAGAUCAUGCCCUUGGAGAUAAUGAAUAGAUCCAAGGCCCUGUUUCUCAAGAUUAAUGUAGAAAGAGAGAUGAAUUAGACGUCUGCAUCAAUAUAGAUUGCUUUGAGAUUGAUGCUAUGAUUAUUUGAAUUGGAUGAGAAAAUUUAUGCUAGAACUUUGAUAUUAGUGCAUAUGUAAUUUGCCUCAUUUGGGUUGAUUAGUAUAUGGACACAAAUCUUGAAGCAAUCAAGCAGUGUAUGAAUUAAAAAAUUCAUUUUCACAUCCAAAUUGUGUUGGACAAAGAUCAUGUAAACAUGAAUUUGAUGUUAUUAUUCAAAUGAUUAGAGAUAGCCAAGAGUUAUGCUUUAGGAUCAUAUUAGAUUAUUAGUUGUCUUUUAUUUUUGGAUUCUUUUGUAAAAAGUUAGUUCAAAAUAUUUUCUUUUCAACCUUAAAUAGAUCUUUGCACAAUUUGCCACAUCAUGUAUGUAAGGUUGGAAAUGAUUUUAGUGAUUCUUCCAAAUUA